UAAAGUCAAACUCGUCUCGACGCAGAGACAGUGUGGAUAAUAACGUAUUGCAGGAGUCAGGACUUUUCCACGGUGAUUCACAUUCAGCUUUCACUUAAGGCAAGAUGGAAGAAAGGAGGACACCAAGAUAAGAAGAUCAAGGAGAUACAGAAAGCUAAAUUUGACAAGGGUCAACAGACCAGACAGCUCUCCCACAGCCAGCCUGAGAACCUGUUUUAUGGUCUGAAUAGCCUGGGUGAAGACUCGUGCAUCAGAUGGCUGAGAAAAGGAUAGCCCAGAACAAGAGGGAGCCCAGCAGAGGCUAAGAAGGAGGCAGCAAAGGAGUUCACAAACCCACAUACAGCUGAAGGAGGUACCGAAUGACAUGUGGGGUCCAUUUCAGAAAGCUGGUUUAGUGAAAACUCUGAGUUUGCUAACCCUGAGACGAGGGUAAUUCUGGGUUUUCUUUCAUUUCAUCAUUCAUUUAUCAGUCUUAAUCCGGCGCAUUUUAGCGCAGUUUGUUACCUGCAUGAAUAAAAAAACAGGGUUGGUUUAUUAACCAUGUUA